UCGGGUUGUAAAGCACUUUUGUCCGGAAAGAAAACUUCUGCCCUAAUACGGUGGGAGGAUGACGGUACCGGAAGAAUAAGCACCGGCUAACUACGUGCCAGCAGCCGCGGUAAUACGUAGGGUGCGAGCGUUAAUCGGAAUUACUGGGCGUAAAGCGUGCGCAGGCGGUUCGUUAAGACAGAUGUGAAAUCCCCGGGCUUAACCUGGGAACUGCAUUUGUGACCGGCGAGCUAGAGUAUGGCAGAGGGGGGUAGAAUUCCACGUGUAGCAGUGAAAUGCGUAGAGAUGUGGAGGAAUACCGAUGGCGAAGGCAGCCCCCUGCCCAAAUACUGACCGUUCAUGCACGAAAAGCGUGGGGGAGCAAAACAGGAUUAGAUACCCUGGUAGUCCACGCCCUAAAACGAUGUCAAACUAGUUGUUGGGGGAUUCAAUUUCCUUAGUAACGUAGGCUAACGCGUUGAAGUUGACCGCCUGGGGAGUACGGGUCGCAAAGAAUUAAAAACUCAAAGGAAUUGACGGGGACCCGCACAAGCGGGUGGAUGAUGUGGAUUAAUUCGAUGCAACGCGAAAAACCUUACCUACCCUUGACAUGGACGGAACCCUGCUG
rnacentral:rRNA from 1 species